rnacentral:rRNA from 1 species
GCCAGACUCCUACGGGAGGCAGCAGUGGGGGAUAUUGCACAAUGGGGGAAACCCUGAUGCAGCGACGCCGCGUGAGCGAUGAAGUAUUUCGGUAUGUAAAGCUCUAUCAGCAGGGAAGAAAAUGACGGUACCUGACUAAGAAGCCCCGGCUAACUACGUGCCAGCAGCCGCGGUAAUACGUAGGGGGCAAGCGUUAUCCGGAUUUACUGGGUGUAAAGGGAGCGUAGACGGCGGCGCAAGCCAGAUGUGAAAACCAUGGGCUCAACCUGUGGCCUGCAUUUGAAACUGUAGUUCUUGAGUACUGGAGAGGCAGACGGAAUUCCUAGUGUAGCGGUGAAAUGCGUAGAUAUUAGGAGGAACACCGGUGGCGAAGGCGGUCUGCUGGACAGCAACUGACGCUGAGGCGCGAGAGCGUGGGGAGCAAACAGGAUUAGAUACCCCAGUA